rnacentral:rRNA from 1 species
UACGUAGGGGGCUAGCGUUGUCCGGAAUCAUUGGGCGUAAAGCGCGUGUAGGCGGCCCGGUAAGUCCGCUGUGAAAAGUCCAGGGCUCAACCCUGGGAUGCCGGUGGAUACUGUCGGGCUCGAGUCCGGAAGAGGCGAGUGGAAUUCCUGGUGUAGCGGUGAAAUGCGCAGAUAUCAGGAGGAACACCAAUGGCGAAGGCAGCUCGCUGGGACGUGACUGACGCUGAGACGCGAAAGCGUGGGGAGCAAACAGG